GACGAACGCUGGCGGCGUGCUUAACACAUGCAAGUCGAACGGAAAGGCCCUGCUUUUGUGGGUUGCUCGAGUGGCGAACGGGUGAGUAACACGUGAGUAACCUGCCCUUGACUUUGGGAUAACUUCAGGAAACUGGGGCUAAUACCGGAUAGGAGCUCCUGCUGCAUGGUGGGGGUUGGAAAGUUUCGGCGGUUGGGGAUGGACUCGCGGCUUAUCAGCUUGUUGGUGGGGUAGUGGCUUACCAAGGCUUUGACGGGUAGCCGGCCUGAGAGGGUGACCGGCCACAUUGGGACUGAGAUACGGACCAGACUCCUACGGGAGGCAGCAGUGGGGAAUAUUGCACAAUGGGCGGAAGCCUGAUGCAGCAACGCCGCGUGCGGGAUGACGGCCUUCGGGUUGUAAACCGAUUUCGCCUGUGACGAAGCGUGAGUGACGGUAAUGGGUAAAGAAGCAACGGCUAACUACGUG
rnacentral:rRNA from 1 species